UGGGGAAUAUUGGACAAUGGGCGCAAGCCUGAUCCAGCAAUUCCGCGUGGGUGAAGAAGGUCUUCGGAUUGUAAAGCCCUUUCGACAGGGACGAUGAUGACGGUACCUGUAGAAGAAGCCCCGGCUAACUUCGUGCCAGCAGCCGCGGUAAUACGAAGGGGGCUAGCGUUGCUCGGAAUUACUGGGCGUAAAGGGCGCGUAGGCGGCUGUGUUAGUCAGGCGUGAAAUUCCUGGGCUCAACCUGGGGGACUGCGCUUGAUACGGCAUGGCUUGAGGAUGGAAGAGGCUCGCGGAAUUCCCAGUGUAGAGGUGAAAUUCGUAGAUAUUGGGAAGAACACCGGUGGCGAAGGCGGCGAGCUGGUCCAUUA
rnacentral:rRNA from 1 species